rnacentral:rRNA from 1 species
GGUCAAGUGAAUAAGAGCACAUGGUGGAUGCCUUGGCAAUGAUAGGCGACGAAAGACGUGAUAGCCUGCGAUAAGCUUCGGGGAGCUGGCAAAUUAGCUUUGAUCCGGAGAUUUCUGAAUGGGGAAACCCACCCUUCGGGGUAUCGCAUACUGAAUACAUAGGUAUGCGAGGCGAACCGGGUGAACUGAAACAUCUCAGUAGCUCGAGGAAAAUACAUCAACCGAGAUUCCGAAAGUAGUGGCGAGCGAAAUCGGAGAAGCCUGUUAGUGAUAGCAAGACUCUUAGCAGAACAGCCUGGAAAGGUUGGCCAUAGUGGGUGAUAGCCCCGUAUGCAAAAAGAGACUUGUGGUACUGAGCUAACGAAAAGUAGGGCGGGACACGAGAAAUCCUGUCUGAAUAUGGGGGGACCAUCCUCCAAGGCUAAAUACUCAUCAUUGACCGAUAGUGAACUAGUACCGUGAGGGAAAGGCGAAAAGAACCCCGGGAGGGGAGUG